AUGUCUACUAAGAAGCAUCGAGCCAUGGGGUCUGAGGAGUGGGUGAGCCGCCUGAGGGCAUUUGCCUCUUCUGGCACUUGGCCCUCCAGUGCAGGGAACAGGCCAUCUCCGAAACAGGCCAAGUGGCCCAACCUCUACCAGAAGAUUGAGUAGUGUCCCACGAUGCUGCGUGGGCAAACCUCUAUCUUAAGGGUAGCGCAGACAUGUACCUGUGGCUUUCACCCCCAGCAGCCCUGCAGCUACCUCUGCCUCCACCUCUGCUGCGCCUGCACGGAGCCCUGGGAGGCAUGCAUUGACGCUGGCGAUGGUGAAUAUUUCCAUCACAUUAAAUACCAUGUCAUUCACCUGGGUAGCCAUGAUCAACUCAUCUCAGAUCUGUGUGUUUACAUAACUUUCAUGCGUAUCACUGGUGUGUAUAAUGUUUUUAUUUUUAAGACUAUUUUAUUAAGACUAUUCUUGGUUGAUUUUCAGUUUGAGAAAUCGCGGUUCGGUGGGACUUUGUCUGCUGCAGCCAAGCCGAAUGUCAAUCUGACUAGGAGGCCUGUUGAGGUAAUUGAUGUACCUAUAGCUGUGCCUGAUGCCUUAGAACACAGCCAUACAGCCAACACUAUCCUUGUUUUGUAA
rnacentral:lncRNA from 1 species